GAUGUAGAUGUAGGGAUAGAGAUAGAGAUAGAGAUAGAGAUAAGAGUUGGGAUAGAGAUUAGAAGUGGGGAUUGGAGAUAGACGAGAAUUUGGAGAAGAAGGGUUUAGAGGAGAAGAACUUUUGGGGAAGGAAAAGCUAAUUCAUUUCAUUCAUAAUUCCCUGUUGCAAUUACAUUCUUGUAUAUUCGUACUCGCCACUGCUUAGUACUCAAAUUAAAGCAAACUAUCCUAUGAGAGCUAAACUGCAAAAUAGGCAAAAAUGGGGGUGAGACUUGCUGGGCUGAUUUUUGCUCGCGGGCUGGGCUUCCGCUGGCUUGCUCGGUCCGAAACUGCCUGAUAAGCGGGUAAGCGGCUCGCGGGUCCGCCUUCUCCGCACUAUCCAUUAUUGGGAUGGUUUUGGGUCCGCCUUUUGCAUCCGCUCCGGUUACUUGGAGGUCCGAUCCGUCAACCUCUGAAGCAUAGCCACUUUCCCCCAAAUAGCUGUGCGCUCCGAUGAUGCCCUAAUCCCCGUCGACGCCGGAGUUCCGCCUGAACGCCACUGCCGCCGGUUCACCCUGCCGGCUCGCUUCCCACCAACCUGUUGUUGCCACUUAUUUCAUCCCUAUCUCGUAAAGGGAGGGCUAAAAGUUCACGAAUCCUAAUGCGACCAGCGAGGAAGUUACCCGAGGAAGAAGAGGAAGAAGAUGAGGAGAGAGUCGAGUAACCAGCCAUUUUGGAGGAUCCACAUGCUCGAUUUCAACCAACAACCACUCUUGAUUAAUAAUUGCACUCUUAUUAAUCAUUACUCAGUUAUGCGAUUUUAGUUAUUUGAAGCGAAAAUUGCACUGCUAGUCUCGAAAUUAAGGAAUUCCAUUUGAAUCACAAAACUUUGUUGUCUUGCAAUUGGUGCACUGAAUUUCGAUAUAUUUUACAGCAGGAUUUAACCUUCAUGUGUCAGGAUUAAUAAUUGCACUCUUAUUAAUCAUUACUCAGUUAUUGAUUUUGAAUGUGUGGAUCGUUAAUUUAAACGUUGUAUCGUCGAAAAAAUGAGUUUAAAAACUCUUAUGGUAUCUUAUAUCAUAACAAGUCUAUCAAGAAUUAUGAUUUUAUUCGGAGAUCAAUAGUUCGGCGUUUAUAUUCAGAAAUCAGUAGUUGGGAGUCCAAUUCGUGAAAGUAUUUUGCUGGGUAUAUUAUCAUAUUCCGAUCUGAAAUGUUUCUGCCAAAUUCAAAAUGAUUUUAUACAGAGUUCAUAUGAUUUUAUUUAAACCUCUUAUGGUUCUAUCAGAAUACAAUAUGAUAUUGAUAUUUUAUAUAAUUUGUAUGAUAUAAUGAGUCGAAAAGUAAGGUGUAAGUCAUAUUGUAGGGUGAGGAUCCGUCAUGAAUUGACACUUUCUUUAACUUUCAAUUAUUUUUAAUUUCAGUUAUUUCCACAAUAUUAAGACAACAGCUUUAUUAACUCUCAGAUGUCAAUUAAUCAAUACUGGAAUUAACGUUCCUAUCAGUUUAAAAAUUGACAGAGCUUUUAAAAUUUAAUAAAAUCAUCAUUAAAUUUAAUAAAAUUCCUAAUAAAUUUAAAGCGAAUGAUUUAACUUAAAAGUUUACCUUCCCAGAAAUGGGCUGAACGAUGUCAGCAUGUAACAUCCCUUCUUGAGCAAGUACUGUGUCAACUAACAUCCCUUGAGAGUGUCUAUUAUUGUCCCAACCUUGCAGAUUCUGAGCUGCCAAUGCUUGAUGCCGACGACAACGUUCAGAGGAAGAACAUAAACAACCUUGUCCAUUAAACUGGCGCUGUGAUCUUUAAAGGAAUCUGGUUCUCUUCAUCGGAAAAGUCGCAAAUGCCAGUUCUUCUGAACUCGGUAACAUUUGUUGGAGAAAAGACCAAGAUGCGAAGGUUUUAAUCUCUGAAAAGAUCUACGCUUUUGGUUUUGUCGUAACUUAAAUCUGCUACUGGCUGAAUUGCAUAGUUGGACUUCGCUUCAAAAGAUAUUCAUUCACGACCGCCGUAAUAUCCACUCCUCGGCAGAGAAUGGUCUAUUCACCUCGUUGACGAAGUUAGACAGCUUUCACAGCUGCAGGGAGCUGUUUAUGCAACAAUUUGAUGAUGUAUGAAGGACAGAAGAACCCUUAACUUUCUAGAAUUCCAUGGCUUUUCAGCAGUCGACAAACAAGCGUGCUGGAGUCGACUGAUGUUUUGAGAAGGCGACGGUGUUCCCACUUGGCUUGGACCUACGCGGCUUCUGCUUGCAGUUUCAUCUGGUGAGUUCGUGUACGGCGUAAACUUGCGGUAUCUUCUGCAGAGGGAUGGGAUGGUGAGUUUUGCUGAUGAAAGGAAUUUGGUUUAAAGUUGAAUUCGGAAUCUAAACGGGAAUAAGUAAAAAAUCAUUGCAUCAGUUAUGUGAUUACGCUAGCUAGUCGAAGAGUAAGUUGUACCACUAUUGUAUGAUUUGCUGCGAAUUUGCAUGUCAUCAAACUAUAAUUUCUUGCAAUUGAUGGACUAA